GUAAUCCAAUGGAUAAUUAAGCCAACCGGUGGUUAUACAAUAGCACGAUUCGUGGGGUGAUAUAUGGUGUGUUCGGUGAUGUUUUCGAGGCAAAAUCAGGUGAAUAUCUUGUAAAAAAACAACGAUUCUUGGUAGUCCAAAAUUAGCAUUGGAAAUCUUGGUGAUGAAUAUCGUUUUCUACCCUGUCGAUUAAAUCAACUUAUCAUCUUCUUAAAUCCAUCUGAUUGAUAAUCUGUGAUUCUUUUACCUUCAUCUGCCUCUUUCCAUGUUAAUUCCUAACAUCAAUACAUUUGUCUUUUCCUUCAGUGUUUUAUUAUUUUACCUCAAGGACGAUAAAAGAAGAGACAUUUUUUUUUUAAUUCGUUGGACAUACAAUCUAUUGAUUUAUGUUGUCAACAUAUAUGCAUGUCUAUGCAUGUAUGUGUGUGUCUUUGGUCAGUAUUUUAUGAGUGGACAGUAAACAUUUGCUCUCUUUUUUCAACAAGGAUUAAUCUAAUAGUUUUGGGGUAUCAUUGUCAUCUUUUUCUUUGAAUAUGAAGCUUUUGCUGUUAUUGGAUUAGUUUAUCGUGAAAUAUGAUGUGUGUCAUCAGAAAUUAUUACUAAUUUCAGCAUGUUCAUCAUCUUUAUCACCCUUGGUUUAAAUGUGAUUAAACUGAUAACAUGAAGAAGAAAUAAAUUAUUGGCUACUCUCAACCCGAGGAGGUAAAUCAAGGUAACUGUUGGAUUUUGGAUUAACAUAAUAAGACAAUUGGUUGUCUUGUUUUCUGCUUUUCGCUUUGUUCACCUACUUGUCUAACCACUAAUACCUUUUGAAGAUUUUGAUAAAAAGAUGAAGAUUGAGAGAGAGAGAGAGAGAGAGAGAGAGAAAUAGAUGUAAACGAGGCGGAGGAGAAUGAAAAAUCAUCUCUUACUGCCCAUUGCGUUUCUAUGCGUACUUCUAGUGUCAACUUGUGAUUAAUUUCGCCCUCACCAUCUUCCUGUUGAUUAUGGAUAAAGCAAUGGUAAUAACAACGACAAUUCGAUAUCAAUAUCUUAAGUGCAGGCCGUUAAAAUGUGAUCUUCUUUUGGAUAUUAAAAACGCAAGAGAGAAAGAGAGAGAUGAAGACGAGGCAACACGAGCCAAAUGUCAGUUGAGAGAAUAAAUUUAUUCAAAUGUCAAGUAAUCGCCUAAAAACUGCACUAGAACUCUAUGGGGAUGAAAAGAAGAAAAAAGAAAGACCAGUCUGUUUAUCUUCACUCUCUUUUACUCCUCUCAACCUCCCUCUAUUUUUCAUCUUCUCUCCUUUUCAGGUAUUAAUACUCUCUCUCUCUCUCUCUCUCUCUCUCUCUCUCUCUCUCUCAAAAUUGUUCGAACUUAUUAAAAAGUAAAACAUCUACAAGCAGAGAAAGAGAGAGGGUCAAGGAUCGACUAACUAUUGAUGAUAGAGGAGAGUGAUAUUCGAAUGAUAAUUUGGAUCGUUUCUCUCCUGUCAAUGGUUAAUAUCGACGGCAGGUGAUUCCAUGUUUUCUCCUCACUUUCAUCUACAAGGUUUUCCAACAAUAUCGAGAAAAAAAAACCAGAUCAACUGUACAAAACCAAAAUGGAGGGAGCAAAAAGAAGAAGACAAGAGACUUAUCAUCUCUCUCUCUCUCUUCCCCUUCGUGGAGCGAUAGAGACCUGACCCUGUUUAACGGAUGCCUGGUGGAAAUUGUGAGGGAGAAAAGUCGAUCCAGUGGUUUAGACAAAACUCACUCCGGGUGUUACUUUGAUAUUCCCCCCCAAAGACACGCUUAUCCUUGUAGCUCAACUAUCGGCGCGCAGGUUGUGUACUUUUUUACGUCUCUUCUUUAGCAAAUCUUUUUGUUAUUGUUAUCAAACAAUCACAACAAUCAAGCUCAUUGAAAGACGUGUACGUGUGCCAACAAGAGCAUUUAUCAAAGUGCAUCUUAACGUACAAAUUAAAAGAUAAAAUCGUGUCGAUGAACAAUCAACGCUCGCGAUUUUAUUAUUACACAAUAACGUUUUUCUUGCUUCUAAUUUCACAUGUUUCACUUUCUCUUUCAUUAUGAUUACUAUUAUUUACUCACAGGAAAUCAUGAGGCAAUAAAUUACAAUGAUGAUGAUGUUAAAUUGUAAUCGUGAGGUCGAUUGGAAUCAAUGAUGGAAAAGUAAACCAAACAAUUUAUUGAUUACUCACUUCGAUCUCUCUCUCUCUCUCUCUCUCUCUGUAUUGGUAAUAAUUUUCUAAAUUGAUUAGGUUACAUAAUGACCUAAUUGUUGAUGAAAAUUGAUCUUCUAUUAUCAUUCAAGUUGGAUCAAUAUUUAAUUGUGUUAAAAGCUAUUAAUAUAUUAUUCAUUUGAAAUUAAAUCAACUGAUUACUUGGAAAGUUUCAAUGAACCAAUGGAUUUAAUCAAUUUGGAAACAAUUAAUUGAUCAAUAUCAAUCAGCUGUUAUAAUAUUUUGAUUGUUGGAAAAGAUUGACCUGGAAACCUAUCAAACAUAUGGAGUGAAGAUGAUGAUGAGGAUCAAUCAAAUUAACUAUUAAUUGGACAAGAAAAUCAGUUAAUCAGUCAAGUCUAUCAUUGAUUGAUUAUUGAGAAUCAGCUGUUGAUAUGGAUUUUGUAAAUCAAUCAAGGGAUAAUCCAGACAAUUAAAUUUUAGAUUAACUGGAAAUCAUAUUGAUCUCAUCUGUUGGACUCUCACAAUUAACUUAAUAUAUUGUAAUCAAUUCUUGGAUUUUGAUUGUUUCUCUCAUGAAUUAACAAAUGGCUGUCAAUUUACACGAAAUUAACUAAUCAAUACUAUGAAUUUAUAUCUACCUUUUUGUGACCAAUGGUCAAGGAAAAUUGACCAUUAAUUGUUGGUUUUUAGAUGGAAAAACUUUCAAUCAUAGAAAGUAGAUAUUUGAGAAAACCAAUAUCAAUAAUCAUCAUGUUAACUAAUAACAAUUUGAGUUGAAUGAAUAUCAACAAUCUGAACUGUUUCAACUUACGAUUAUUGGAAAAGUUGAUGAUUGACUUUUCCAUGUAAUUGAAACAUUUUGAUUACUAUUUUUAACAUAAGAAACCAUGUUGAUUAUAUUUCCCUCAUGGUAUCAAUAUGAAUAUUGUUGAAUAUUUUUCUUAUUCUCAGCAUCUUAAUCGUCACAAUUAAAGUUGAUGAUGACAAUUGGAGGCUGCUCAAAAUGAUGACAUGGUGUUUUUUUUUAUAGAGACCUGGUUGAGGUUUCCAAUUGAAAGUUAUUAACUGUUAUCAUUAUUAUCUAAUCAUGUUGAUGAAAUUGAAUCUAGAUGAAAAGGGAAACGGAAACGGAAAGGAAACCGCAAUGAGCUCAACAAGGAAUCAAUUAUUAGACUGAUCAAUCAAAUUGAAUAAGAUGAAGGCGAUACCUUUUAGAUUUGGAUCUUUCAUCUUCAUCAUUGUCGUCAUAAUUAUCAUCAUUAUCUUUUCAUCUUCUCCCUCAUCAACUCUAUCUUCGAGUGAAUCUUCAUCUUUAUCAUGUUGAUUUACUAUUUUUUGGCUUCUAACUUUAGUCUCACUCUUUUGCCAAAACUGGGUGAUUAUGAUGAUCAACAUGAAGAGGAAGAUGUAAUUCAAAAAAUUCUUAAUCAAAAGAAUCAGAGAUUCUUAUUCAAACUUCAGUGGAUCAUCAUCAUCAUCAUCAUGUUUCUUAGCGGAGAAAAUUGGGAAAAUUAAUUAUUUGAUUCACGAAAAUAUCAAAACUUAUUGUUCGUUGUCACAUCUUCAGCCAAUUAUCUUCUUAAUUGUUAACCAACAUUUCGUCAAUGGAGUCUUAAUAAUUACCCACACAAAUUAAUUACGAAAAUUGCAACAAUUAGUAAUCAAAGUUGUCUAUCGCAUGUCAGAUUAUCAUGUAUUAAUUGUUAUUGAUACAGUUCUUAAUUAUUAUCAUUAUCUUUCCCGAAAAAAGCUCAACUAAAUCAGUGAUUAAAUGAAAUGAAACUGAAAGGUGAAGAUUAAAUUUUGAAUACAAUUAAAUGACAAUCAAAAUUUCAUCAAAUUGUUUAAGCAAAAACAACCAAAUUAUGAGUUAAUUAUUGAUUCAGAUGAUUGAAGUAAAGGUAAAUUGAAAAACAUACCAACAACAAUUAUCUUAAUCAUUACGUUUCUAAACCUUUCAUAGCCACAAGAACUUGAUUCCAGGUAAAAUGAUUGGUUGAUGAUAAUUUCAUUGUCUAUCAUUUUUACCUGAAUCAAGGGUGUGUCAUCAUCUUAAUCAUCAUCAUCAUCAUCCCAAUUGUGGUUUACUCCCUGUGAGCAUCACCUUUACCCAAAAAUAGCCUUAAAUUGAUGAUUAUAAUUAUCUGUUGAAAUGCUAAUUCCAAUCAACUAUUAACUCAUUUUCUUGUCUUUAUAUAUAUAAAUAAACUCAUCUCUUGUCAUUAAUCAUCAUCCUCAUCAUAAUCAUGAUUAAUCUUCAUCUUCUCCAUGGACAAUAUUGGUUUUCCAUCAUUUGAAUAAACUCUUUACAACAAUUUACCGUUAACAUCACAAUUUAGUUCAUUCUCAAUGUUAUUUGAGCUCUUUUUUCAAAACUAAUAAUAAACUUUUCAAUUACUAUUUUUGUCUUCCACUAAUACGAUGAUCAUGAUGAUUGUCAACUAAUAACAUAAUUUUGUUUCUUUCUUUAUCAUGAUUAACUAAAUGUUAUAAUUAAAUUGUCUGAGUUUGCAUUUUGUUAAUUUUUC